AUGGAGAAACCUGGAACAAUUGGCCUCCCCAGCCCCGUCACCAGCUACAAAGCAAGACGUCGAUUCCACCUGGGGUCGUACUCCUCGCCAGACGGGCACAUGCUACUAAAGCUGGUCGUGAAUUUUGGUUGCACGAUCUCUGUGUGGCAUCAGCUCUCGGGCGGUGGUUGGACCUUAGAGACUGUGAUCAAUGUGGAGAAGAAGUUACGGUCGCUAGACCCCAGGGUUCUUCCCCACUGGCGUCUUCAUGUUUGGUUUAGGCCCUUGGGCGAGAGGAGAGGUGUCGUUUUGAUGCAGGUAAGCCUGCCCUGGCAUGGGCCAUUAAAUGGUGAAUGUGAUUUGAUGGCCGUGCUUGAUCUAGAGACGAAGGAGAUCCACAUUGUGCAACGCUUGGCUCUCUCCUCCUCUAUGCUCUUGGAGAUCGACAUGCCUUCUCGGCUGCGAGCCAUGAAAUUAUUUUCCUAA
rnacentral:rRNA from 1 species